rnacentral:lncRNA from 1 species
CUUUUUCCUGUGCUGUGUCUGGCUAUAUUUGAGUAUUGUCACUUUCCACCCUCCACUGACUCUACUAGGGGUGUCCCUAGUACCCUCAUUAUUGCUGUCUCCACCUCUGGGGGUCACUGAUGCCUUGCUCUUGCCAGUGUCACUGCAGUCACUGGCCUCGCCACCAGGGGCACAGUAAAGGGAGGAUGCCUCUGUCACGUCCAGGAUCACCUGAGUCAUAAGAACUGCCUCCAUGGACACAAUUGGAAACAUUGGUUAUGCUACCAAGGCUUUGACUGGAAUGUUUUCUUUGAGAGAGACAAACAUAGACUCAGAUAUGACCAGAC